UACGGAGGGGGCUAGCGUUGUUCGGAAUUACUGGGCGUAAAGCGCGCGUAGGCGGCUUUGUAAGUUAGAGGUGAAAGCCCGGGAGCUCAACUCCGGAACUGCCUUUAAGACUGCAUCGCUAGAACGUUGGAGAGGUGAGUGGAAUUCCGAAGUGUAGAGGUGAAAUUCGUAGAUAUUCGGAAGGAACACCAGUGGCGAAGGCGACUCACUGGACAACUGUUGACGCUGAGGUGGCGAAAAGCGUGGGGAGCAAACA
rnacentral:rRNA from 1 species